rnacentral:rRNA from 1 species
GACGAACGCUGGCGGCGUGCUUAACACAUGCAAGUCGAACGGAAAGGCCCUGCUUUUGUGGGGUGCUCGAGUGGCGAACGGGUGAGUAACACGUGAGUAACCUGCCCUUGACUUUGGGAUAACUUCAGGAAACUGGGGCUAAUACCGGAUAGGAGCUCCUGCUGCAUGGUGGGGGUUGGAAAGUUUCGGCGGUUGGGGAUGGACUCGCGGCUUAUCAGCUUGUUGGUGGGGUAGUGGCUUACCAAGGCUUUGACGGGUAGCCGGCCUGAGAGGGUGACCGGCCACAUUGGGACUGAGAUACGGCCCAGACUCCUACGGGAGGCGGCAGUGGGGAAUAUUGCACAAUGGGCGGAAGCCUGAUGCAGUAACGCCGCGUGCGGGAUGACGGCCUUCGGGUUGUAAACCGCUUUCGCCUGUGACGAAGCGUGAGUGACGGUAAUGGGUAAAGAAGCACCGGCUAACUACGUG